GCAAACUUGGUCAUUUAGAGGAAGUAAAAGUCGUAACAAGGUCUCCGUUGGUGAACCAGCGGAGGGAUCAUUAUAGAGUCUUCAGAACUCCAAACCACUGUGAACAUACCACUGUUGCUUCGGCGGGUUGCUGGUCGUGGCGUCUCGCCGCGUCCGGAUCGCCCGCCGGGGAUCUCAAACUCUUGUUUUCUAGCGUAUCUUCUGAGUACCAAAAUAAGCAAUCAAAACUUUCAGCAACGGAUCUCUUGGCUCUGGCAUCGAUGAAGAACGCAGC
rnacentral:misc_RNA from 1 species